UUGGUGGGGUGAUGGCCUACCAAGGCGACGACGGGUAGCCGGCCUGAGAGGGCGACCGGCCACACUGGGACUGAGACACGGCCCAGACUCCUACGGGAGGCAGCAGUGGGGAAUAUUGCACAAUGGGCGCAAGCCUGAUGCAGCGACGCCGCGUGAGGGAUGAAGGCCUUCGGGUUGUAAACCUCUUUCAGCAGGGAAGAAGCGAAAGUGACGGUACCUGCAGA
rnacentral:rRNA from 1 species